rnacentral:rRNA from 1 species
CCUACGGGAGGCAGCAGUGAGGAAUAUUGGUCAAUGGGCGCGAGCCUGAACCAGCCAAGUAGCGUGAAGGAUGACUGCCCUACGGGUUGUAAACUUCUUUUAUAAAGGAAUAAAGUGAGGCACGUGUGCCCUUUUGUAUGUACUUUAUGAAUAAGGAUCGGCUAACUCCGUGCCAGCAGCCGCGGUACUACGGAGGAUCCGAGCGUUAUCCGGAUUUAUUGGGUUUAAAGGGAGCGUAGAUGGGUUGUUAAGUCAGUUGUGAAAGUUUGCGGCUCAACCGUAAAAUUGCAAUUGAUACUGGCAGCCUAGAGUACAGUUGAGGUAGGCAGAAUUCGUGGUGUAGCGGUGAAAUGCUUAGAGAUCACGAAGAACACCGAUUGCGAAGGCAGCUUACUAAACUGCCACUGACAUUGAUGCGCGAAAGUGUGGGUAGCAAACAGGAUUAGAUACCCGUGUAGUC